CUGGGUUCCUCCACCCAUCCUCAUGUGGUGAGUGAGUACCCUGGUGCAACAGUUUAAUAAAGAUCAGGCUUACUAGCUGCUUUGCUUCUCAAUAUUCUCUGGUUGGCCUCUGUUAUUUUCUCCUAUCAAUAGGAGAAAUAGGGAACCUACUUAAGGACUCUAUAUGCACUCUUGGAUACCCCAUAACGGAAAAAGGAGCAAGUUUUUUCUAUAAGUACUUUUCCUCCUAGACUACCAGUUAAUCAAGAAAUGAGCAAUGCAAUGGUUUAUUACUUAUACCCGCAGUGAUAAGCAGGAGGAGAACAGAGAAAGGGAGAUUGGGGGAAGGGAAAGAACUUCCUCAAUAUUUUCCUGCUGGUUACUAAAGGUGGUAUAUUUUGUAGCCUGGCAUGGUGUAUGUAUAAAACUGGGAGACAGUGGCGGAGCCUUGUGGGGCUGGUGGUGGGAAGGAGCGAAAUGGACAGAGUAUGCAUGCACAUUAAACUGCCUAAUGGCAUCCAGGAGAUCGCAGGUGCAGAGAUCAGAAAAGAAGUUGUCUGAAGAGGUCACUUCCUGGGUCUCAUGAGGAAGCUGUUUUCAACAGAACCCCAGACCAAAGUGUGCAGCUGUAUUGAGGUAGCACUGGGUAUUGAAAUUUUGCGCCUGGGGCAACCAUCCCUGUAGCCCCCCCACCCUCUAUGCUACGCCACUGCUGGGAUACAACAGCGUUCAGCAACAACAACCCUAAAGGUAAAGGGACCCCUGACCAUUAGGUCCAGUCGUGGCCGACUCUGGGGUUGCGGCACUCAUCUCACUUUAUUGGCCGAGGGAGCCGGCGUACAGCUUCCGGAUCAUGUGGCCAGCAUGACUAAGCCGCUUCUGGCGAACCAGAGCAGCGCACGGAAACGCCGUUUACCUUCCCGCCGGAGUGGUACCUAUUUAUCUACUUGCACUUUGAUGUGCUUUUGAACUGCUAGGUUGGCAGGAGCAGGGACUGAGCAACGGGAGCUCACCCCAUCGUGGGGAUUCAAACUGCCAACCUUCUGAUCGGCAAGUCCUAGGCUCUGUGGUUUAACCCACAGCGCCACCUGCGUCCCUAACAACAAUCCUAACACAGCACAAUUUUCCCUUCUUGGAGUUCCCCCAUGAGGAAUGUAUAGCCUGACCAAAACUGCUGCAAUAUAUUUAGGAGUAAGUCCUAUUAAACUCAUAAGAUUGCAUGUUACAUUAAAAAGUCAAACAGUCCUCCAAGUCUCUGCCUAGGUUUAUAUCCCUGCUGGUGCUGGCAACAAAUAUCUCCAGACAUCAGGAGCCCCUUGAGGUGAUCAUUCGUUUCAGCAUUGAAUCAAUGCCUGCUGUUCCAUGCAUCUAGGUUUUUCUUAUAUCAAGUCUCCCUUCAUUUUUAUAAGGCUGUGAUUCUAAGCCUACCUACCUGGGAGUAAGUCCUAGUGAACUCAGUAGGACUCACUUCAGAGUAGACAUGGCUAAGGCUGCAGAAGCAUCUAUGAGUUUCACAGGGCAGGGGAAGCAGGAAGGGAAAUGGAAGGACAUUUAUUUAUUACCAAAGCAGUUAAUUACUUGUGUGAGUAAAUUAACCAUUAAUUUUUCAGGGUAGGUUCUCCUUUGGGUGUAAGAAGAACAAAGUGCUUCAGCCUGAAGAUCACAGACACACAUCUAGUGUGGAUACAGAGAAUACACCUGAGGACAAUUUGAUACUUGAAGAAGAUUAGUUAAGCACCAUAAGCAAAGAAGAUAUUACAGGAGAAGCAUUUGUAUCCACUGCAAAAUGACACACCAGCUACAGAAUAUGAAACCAAUUACUUUACGGCAUUCCCAGAAGCCUCAGUAAACAGGUAUGGAACGGCCAAGAAGUUAUAAAAAUGAAUGUCUAUGGAACAGGAUCAACAGAAGUUCCAACGAACAGUGAAUGAACAGUUACACAAUAAUGAGUCACAUGUCUAGUUAUGACUGAAAGCAAUGUCAGUGUGAUCAAAGACCUUUAAAUGAUGUCUGGGCAAGUUAUGGGACAGGCAGACUCCGUGCAUCUGGUAUAUCCUUCCCACUCAUCUCUCAAGAGUCCUGUUCCUUGUUUUCUUAUAAAAAAUAUAUACCCCAAAAGUCAUUCUUCCAGAUCUAGAGACUCUCUUAUAUUGGCUCAGGGAAAAUAGUCUUUUUCAUUCAUUUCCAUGCAUGAAGCAGAUCCAACGCUGGAACUUUAAAAUACCCACCCCUGCUCCCGAAAUCCAUCUUUUCAUGGAAUAAAAUAAAUAAUGCCAGUGUUGCACUUCUUUAGACUGCUAGAACCCACCAAGAAUACAAUAUAAAUCUUGAAGUUGAGCCAUACUCCAUAACUGUGUAAAGGGAUCAAUACAGAUGUCAGAAAUCAAUAAGAAAGUCAGUAUACAUCAGUGACCAUUAUUAUAAUUGAAACACAUUAUUCACAUUAUUACUCUGGGAUGCUUUCCAGGAACCAGGCUAUUUGCAUGUGUGGAGAUGGGCCAUCCAUGAAAUGAUUAGGGAAGUCCUUGUAAAUGAAUAGUUGUGUCAAGAGAAUCCUCAGAACAUUCAGAACACUGCUGAAUCAGGGAGAAUGGAACCACAUUUUAAAAAGUUGAUUGAAUUAACUAUAAAAGGACUCUUCAUGAACAAAAGAAGAAAGUAAGGCACUGUUUCACACUGAAUAUAAAUUGCCUUAACAAUUUUAUGUGUCAUCCAUUUAUCCUGCAUCUUUUCUUUGACAGGGAGCAGAAGGAGAUGCUACAGAUGCCCUCAAAAUAAUGCCUUGGCUGCCAUUAUUUUCCCAUUCUGACAAGCUAAGAAAAGAUAGAUCUAAGAACGGAUCUAUAGCCAUCCCAUUUCAGAUCAUUGUUUUAACCAUCCAUUAAAGCUACAAUAGAAUGUUUUUAUUUGCAGGCAACACUACGGUAAUUCCUGAUGAGGAAGAAAUCAUACUUACCCUGUAUAUUGGCCAGUUCUGUGUCCAGGUUUGGACACUGCAGUAUCAAUAAGGAUGCUGACCAUCUGGAAAGGGUCCAGAAGAGGGAAAAGAAGAUGUGGAGGACUGGAGAAUAUGAGGAAAGGUUGAAGGAGAUGAACAUAUUAAUCUGUAGAAGACAUUUAAGAGGUGAUAUGAUACCCAUCCUCACAUAUUCUUCUUCGGCCCUCAGCUAUCAGAAUGAUCGUGAUGUUGUGCUUCCUAACCAUCACCAUCACCAUCAAGAAAAGAGAAGACUUCUUUGAGGGUUGACCAUACUCUUUGACCUUGAAGAGG